GCUUGUUUGUUUAAGUUUUGAAUUUAAAAUGAUCCGAUAGCAAAAAGACUGUUAAAAAUUAAACUAGGUGUAAAUAUUCAGCCUUAUAGUCUUUUUAUAAAUCGAAAAUUAACACUUUUGGCAACUAGCCCUGACAGUUUAAUUUAUAAUAGGGGAAAUAGUUAAGAUUAAAUGUCCAGCGUCCAUUAAAGAUAUUACACCCGAAUAAGCUUUUGAAAAUAAUAAAUUAAAUUCAUGAGUUUUAAAGAUAGGGAAUUUGGAAAUUGAAAACCACGCAUAAUUAUUAUUUUCAAGUAUAGGGGCAAUUGAAAAUAUCAGAAAGAAAAUAUUACUUUAUAGUGUGGAUACCUAAUGGUAAGGUUUAGAUUAAUAUUAUUGUGUUAAAACUAUAACUUACAUGUAAUAUUUUAUUUAAAUUAAUGGUUUUUAUUUUCAUAAAGGGAUGGUAAUUGUUAAAAUACACUAAAAUUACAAUUUCUGGAAAAAAAUUGAACCUCGGAACAAUUUUAUAUGGAGUGCUUACUUUUCAAAUUUAUCAACUCUCGAUUUGACCGAGGCCUUCCCAUAAGAACUGGGCUUAAUUUAUAAAACAUUUUUUCAAAUUUAUUAUUUAACAAUUUUAAUUUUUAUUAUUUAAUUUUUUUUAUGUAUGUUUAUGUGUGAAAAAAAUGUAUGGUUUAGUGCAACCGAACUGUCCUCAGAAUUUCUUUUUGUCAGCAAUGGUUUAUCAUUGCUUGCAGAUAAAAAUUAAAUAACCUUAUGUAUCCUACCUUCUCCACUUCCCACCUACAACAGCGGCUGCAUUUGUCCCUAGUAUCCUAGGACAACUUUUUAGAAAUGUGAGUACACAUCUACUAUACGGAUAAAAUAUAUAAUAUAAAAUUAAAAUACCU